rnacentral:rRNA from 1 species
UACGGAGGGUGCAAGCGUUAUCCGGAUUUAUUGGGUCUAAAACAUCCGUAGCUUGUUUAGUAAGUCUCUUGUGAAAUCUUGUCUCUUAAGGGCAAGGCGCGCAAGAGGUACUACUAGGCUAGAGAUCGGCAGGUGCGAGAAGUACGUUCAAGGUAGUGGUUAAAUACGUUAAUCUUGGAUGGACUCACAAUUAGCGAAGGCAUCUCGCAAGGACGAAUCUGACAGUGAGGGAUGAAGGCCAAGGGCGCGAAAG